rnacentral:rRNA from 1 species
GGUCAAGCGAAUAAGCGCACACGGUGGAUGCCUUGGCGGUCAGAGGCGAUGAAGGACGUGGCAGCCUGCGAAAAGUAUCGGGGAGCUGGCAACAAGCUUUGAUCCGGUAAUGUCCGAAUGGGGAAACCCACCCGCUUGCGGGUAUCCUGCAGUGAAUACAUAGCUGCUGGAAGCGAACCUGGUGAACUGAAAUAUCUAAGUAACCAGAGGAAAAGAAAUCAACCGAGAUUCCGUAAGUAGCGACGAGCGAACGCGGACUAGCCCUUAAGCUGGAUUGGUUCUAGGAAAACGCUCUGGAAAGAGCGGCCAUAGAAGGUGAUAGCCCUGUAUCUGAAAGGGCCAUUCCAGUGAAGACGAGUAGGGCGGGGCACGUGAAACCCUGUCUGAACAUGGGGGGACCAUCCUCCAAGGCUAAAUACUACUGACCGACCGAUAGUGAACCAGUACCGUGAGGGAAAGGCGAAAAGAACCCCGGAGAGGGGAGUGAAAUAGAACCUGAAACCGUGUGCGUACAAGCAGUAGGAGCUCCGCAAGGAGUGACUGCGUACCUUUUGUAUAAUGGGUCAGCGACUUACUGUUCGUGGCAAGCUUAACCGUAUAGGGGAGGCGAAGGGAAACCGAGUCUGAUAAGGGCGCAUAGUCGCGGGCAGUAGACCCGAAACCGGGUGAUCUAGUCAUGCCCAGGGUGAAGGUGCGGUAACACGCACUGGAGGCCCGAACCCACUCCCGUUGCAAAGGUAGGGGAUGAGGUGUGAUUAGGAGUGAAAAGCUAAUCGAACCCGGAGAUAGCUGGUUCUCCUCGAAAGCUAUUUAGGUAGCGCCUCAUAUGUAUCCUCUCGGGGGUAGAGCACUGUUAUGGCUAGGGGGUCAUCGCGACUUACCAAACCAUUGCAAACUCCGAAUACCGAGACGGACUGUAUGGGAGACACACGGCGGGUGCUAACGU